rnacentral:rRNA from 1 species
GUUACAGCCGCCGCGGUAAGACGUAGGAGGCGAGCGUUAUCCGGAUUCACUGGGCGUAAAGCGCAUGUAGGCGGUUGUGUAAGUCCGAUGUUAAAGCCCCUGGCUCAACUGGGGGAGGUCAUUGGAGACUACUCGACUUGAGGGCAACAGAGGCACGUGGAACUCCCGGUGUAGCGGUGGAAUGCGUAGAGAUCGGGAAGAACACCAGUGGCGAAGGCGACGUGCUGGGUUGCAACUGACGCUGAGAUGCGAAAGUGUGGGGAGCAAACGGGAUUAGAUACCCGCGUAGUCC